rnacentral:rRNA from 1 species
AAAUUGAAGAGUUUGAUCAUGGCUCAGAUUGAACGCUGGCGGCAGGCCUAACACAUGCAAGUCGAACGGUAACAGGAAGAAGCUUGCUUCUUUGCUGACGAGUGGCGGACGGGUGAGUAAUAUCUGGGAAACUGCCUGAUGGAGGGGGAUAACUACUGGAAACGGUAGCUAAUACCGCAUAACGUCGCAAGACCAAAGAGGGGGACCUUCGGGCCUCUUGCCAUCGGAUGUGCCCAGAUGGGAUUAGCUAGUAGGUGGGGUAACGGCUCACCUAGGCGACGAUCCCUAGCUGGUCUGAGAGGAUGACCAGCCACACUGGAACUGAGACACGGUCCAGACUCCUACGGGAGGCAGCAGUGGGGAAUAUUGCACAAUGGGCGCAAGCCUGAUGCAGCCAUGCCGCGUGUAUGAAGAAGGCCUUCGGGUUGUAAAGUACUUUCAGCGGGGAGGAAGGGAGUAAAGUUAAUA